UACGGAGGGGGCUAGCGUUGUUCGGAAUUACUGGGCGUAAAGCGCACGUAGGCGGCUUUGUAAGUUAGAGGUGAAAGCCCAGGGCUUAACCCUGGAAUUGCCUUUAAGACUGCAUCGCUAGAAUCGUGGAGAGGUGAGUGGAAUUCCGAGUGUAGAGGUGAAAUUCGUAGAUAUUCGGAAGAACACCAGUGGCGAAGGCGACUCACUUGGACACGUAUUGACGCUGAGGUGCGAAAAGCGUGGGGAGCAAACAGG
rnacentral:rRNA from 1 species